UACGAAGGGGGCUAGCGUUGUUCGGAAUCACUGGGCGUAAAGCGCACGUAGGCGGAUCGUUAAGUCGGGGGUGAAAUCCCAGGGCUCAACCCUGGAACUGCCUUCGAUACUGGCGAUCUUUGAGUCCGGGAGAGGUGAGUGGAACUCCGAGUGUAGAGGUGAAAUUCGUAGAUAUUCGGAAGAACACCAGUGGCGAAGGCGGCUCACUGGCCCGUAACUGACGCUGAGGUGCGAAAGCGUGGGGAGCAAACAGG
rnacentral:rRNA from 1 species